UAAUAUGAUUAACUGUAUAAUCUUAUUACCAUACUAAAAUUGCAACAAAUUAUUAACAAGAAUAUAUGCUGAGAAAUAAAAAAAACGAAUUUUAAUGUCAGAUUAUGUAAAUUGAUUGUUUGUUUUUUAUACGCAGAGAUUAUAAUGGUAGAAUUCCGUCGUAAUGGGGUUGACUUUGACCCUGAAUCAGAGGCGAAAAAGUCUUCCAAAUAAAAAAGGUACACGUACCUGAUUGAUGACGCAAUUGGAAACAAAGAACACGCUAAAGGUCAUUGUCAACUAAAAAUAAGCACAAAUAUAAUGAAGGAAAA
rnacentral:lncRNA from 1 species